CCUACGGGAGGCAGCAGUGAGGAAUAUUGGUCAAUGGGCUUACGCCUGAACCAGCCAAGUCGCGUGAGGGAAGACUGCCCUACGGGUUGUAAACCUCUUUUGUCAGGGAGUAACGCCGGCUACGUGUAACUGGUCUGAGAGUAUUUGAAGAUAAAGCAUCGGUAAACUCCGUGCCAGCAGCCGCGGUAAUAGGGGGGAUCCGAGCGUUAUCCGGUUUGAUUGGGUUUAAAGGGUGCGAAGGCGGAAGUCCAAGUCAGUGGUAAAAUUGCGGGGCCCAACCUCGCUUCGCAGUUGAAACUGGCGUUCUUGAGUGGGCGUGAGGUAUGCGGAAUGCGUGGUGUAGCGGUGAAAUGCAUAGAUAUCACGCAGAACUCCGAUUGCGAAGGCAGCAUACCGGCGCCCAACUGACGCUGAAGCACGAAAGCGUGGGUAUCGAACAGGAUUAGAUACCCGAGUAGUC
rnacentral:rRNA from 1 species